UUUCCUCUGCUCUCUCCAGGAAGCCAGUGGAAGUCUCAAGAGAGAUGGGGUUUUCUCCAGUCUGUGAAGUCUCCUGUUUGUGAGCGGGACAGAAGGGAGGGCAGUGUGUAUCCAGAAGUUCCCCUGGAAGCUCCCAGAGUACAGGAAUUGCGCCACCGGUUUGGCUGUGAGAUGAGAGAACAAGAAUGAAUGGCCCUGGAAAGCUCCAUGAAGGUGACAGGGUAGAUCUGACUUGUUUUCUUCAGUCAAAUGAUGCAACUGACAUCGUCUAUUGAGGUUACUCACAUGGUCUCUGCCUUGGAAGGAAACAUAGAAGGCAUCAAGCCCGGUUUGGAGCCGACCAGAAGAGAUCUUCCUGGUGGUGUUGUUGGACUUGGAAGCAGGGAGUUCAGCAGUGUCUCUGGAGAUCAUAGAGGAGCCUGAAAUCUAGCCCUUCACUUCUCUGUGGCUUUGGAAGGAAUAUGAGCUGGAAGGAACCUCUGGGGCCAGCUAGCCCUUGCCUGAACAACAACAUCCUCCAGAACAUCUGCAAAAAAGGGCCUGAUUCAGCUUUUGCAUGAAGAUCUAUAGAAUGGGAGCUCCUUGAAGGCAGGGACUGCUGGCACUUCUGGGACAUACUUUAUAAAGCCUCCUUGACUGACUGUCCUCCACGAUGGAAAAUGUCCCUUGAUGCAACUCAUUCCACUUCUAAACAUAUUUAGUUAUUUGGAAAUUUUCUUUGAAUUCUCUCGCCAUCUUCCUCUCUUUCUUCCAGGCAUUACUUAUGCCCUUUGAAG
rnacentral:lncRNA from 1 species